GAUGUACGCUGGCGGCGUGCCUAAUACAUGCAAGUCGAGCGAACGGACGAGAAGCUUGCUUCUCUGAUGUUAGCGGCGGACGGGUGAGUAACACGUGGAUAACCUACCUAUAAGACUGGGAUAACUUCGGGAAACCGGAGCUAAUACCGGAUAAUAUUUUGAACCGCAUGGUUCAAAAGUGAAAGACGGUCUUGCUGUCACUUAUAGAUGGAUCCGCGCUGCAUUAGCUAGUUGGUAAGGUAACGGCUUACCAAGGCAACGAUGCAUAGCCGACCUGAGAGGGUGAUCGGCCACACUGGAACUGAGACACGGUCCAGACUCCUACGGGAGGCAGCAGUAGGGAAUCUUCCGCAAAGGGCGAAAGCCUGACGGAGCAACGCCGCGUGAGUGAUGAAGGUCUUCGGAUCGUAAAACUCUGUUAUUAGGGAAGAACAUAUGUGUAAGUAACUGUGCACAUCUUGACGGUACCUAAUCAGAAAACCACGGCUAACUACGUG
rnacentral:rRNA from 1 species